ACAAACAUUGUUUUGUCAAUCUUGUCCAGUAAAGGUGUUUAAAAAAUUAUGUUUUCGAAAUUUAAAAACUACACCUGCGUGGUGUUUUUUUUUUAGCGUGUUCCUAAGUCUGCCAAAAACAAAAACAAAAUCUCCUUGGUGCGACGGCCACAAAAUUUUCAUCUCCAGUUGCUGCUAGUUUUGUGCGACCAAAUCUAUGGCAUUAUUCGCAUCAUCCGGUACCGGAUCCAGGAUUGCUGCUGGGUUCGAGAUGCUGCCGCUGAACAAGAAAGCAGCUGGAAAAUCAACCGGCAAACCAUCCAAGGCAGCCGCCACGGAACGAUAUAAACAACGUUUCCGUCUACAAAUCUGCAUAGACGACUUGACAGGAUAAAAUACCGAAAUACGGACAGUUCCAUUCGCCGCCUAGGUAAGCUACAAAUUCGAAUGGAAACUGGAAAAGGACCGAUAAGUGAUACAUUUCAGUCUCCGCAACCAGGGAUCAUUCGGUUUGCAGCUUUAGGAUGGAUACUUACACGAAGUGUUUUAUUUUGUGCAAGGACGGCGUGAAGCUACUGGACAGACAAACUUCUGAUUGUCAAGAGUUUUGGUGUAUUUAUAGUGUUUAUAUUUCGGGGAAUUAAAUAAAAAUGUGUUGAGCAAUUAAUUUAUAACGCACAAUGAAGUAAGUACUAUGUGUAGUCUAAAUUUUCUUCAACCUUAAAAAAGUGUCACUUAAAGCCAUACAUUCUCGAAUAUAGAAUUAAAUAUACUCAUUUUUUUUUAUUUGAAGUGAGUUUUUCUACACAUUACUUGUUUCAAUGUCUCAUCUACAAUAUUUUAAUAGCAAAUUCUCUAAUGGUAUAAAUGUAUCUGGAUAACCCAGUGUAUGGUUCAAAUACAACAAAGAACAAUAAACCAACAAUUACACAUA